rnacentral:rRNA from 1 species
ACUCAAAUGAAUUGACGGGGGCCCGCACAAGCGGUGGAGCAUGUGGUUUAAUUCGUCAUUAACCGAAGAACCUUACCAGGGUUUGACAUCUGCUGUAAGUCCGUGAAAGCGGUACCCUUCCCCCACAAGGGGAACAGCAAGACAGGUGUUGCAUGGCUGUCGUCAGCUCGUGUCGUGAGAUGUUGGGUUAAGUCCCGCAACGAGCGCAACCCUCAUCCAAUGUUGCCAGCGUAAAGUCGGGAACUCUUUGGAAACUGCCCGUGUAAGCGGGAGGAAGGUGGGGAUGACGUCAAGUCGGCAUGGCCCUUACGCCCUGGGCUACACACAUGCUACAAUGGACGUUAACAGAGGGAAGCAAUGCCGCGAGGUGGAGCAAAUCCCAAAAAUACGUUCUCAGUUCGGAUCGCAGUCUGCAACUCGACUGCGUGAAGUCGGAAUCGCUAGUAACCGCAGGUCAGCUAUACUGCGGUGAAUACGUUCCCGGGCCUUGCACACACCGCCCGU